UAUGAGCUUCGUCGCUACCUAGAGUUAUAUACACACAGAUUCAUGAGCCUUUUCUCCCCAUACAUUCGGAUUUCAAUCCCCGAAUUCACUGGAACCCAUCUCAAGCGUAGUGAAGCCUUCGCUGCUGUUGAGGCAUAUCUUAGUGUUAACUCAUCAAAAAGCGCCAAGAGAUUUAAAGCUGAGAUGGGAAGAGACAGCAAGAAGCUAGUGUUAAGCAUGGAUGAACACGAAAGGGUGACUGAUGAAUUUGAGGGUGUCAAAGUUUGGUGGGUCUUGAGCAAACUCGUGUCACCAUCACGGUCAAUGUACCCAGAGCAAGAGAAAAGAUAUUACAGGCUCAAAUUCCAUAAGCAAUAUAGAGAGGUGAUAACAGAUACUUACUUGGAGCAUGUGGUGACCAAGGGUAAGGAAAUUCAAAGGAGAAAUAAGCAGAGGAAGCUUUACACCAACAGCGCCAAUAAUAAAUUCUCAAGCCGAAAGCAGACCAUGUGGAGUCAUAUCGUCUUUGAGCAUCCAGCUACUUUUGAAACUAUGGCAAUGGAGCCAGAAAAGAAACAGGAGAUUAUUGAAGACCUAUUAACAUUCAGUAAAAGUAAUGACUUUUAUGCUAGGAUUGGAAAGGCAUGGAAACGGGGAUACCUGCUGUAUGGUCCCCCAGGCACUGGCAAAUCAACCAUGAUUGCUGCAAUGGCAAAUUUGCUGAGCUAUGAUGUUUAUGAUCUUGAGCUGACGGCUGUGAAGGACAACACGGAGCAGAGGAAACUUUUGAUCGAGACAACGAGUAAAUCU
rnacentral:lncRNA from 1 species